CAGUCGCCGCGGGAAUACGUAGGGUGCAAGCGUUAAUCGGAAUUACUGGGCGUAAAGCGUGCGCAGGCGGUUAUAUAAGACAGAUGUGAAAUCCCCGGGCUCAACCUGGGAACUGCAUUUGUGACUGUAUAGCAAGAGUACGGCAGAGGGGGAUGGAAUUCCGCGUGUAGCAGUGAAAUGCGUAGAUAUGCGGAGGAACACCGAUGGCGAAGGCAAUCCCCUGGGCCUGUACUGACGCUCAUGCACGAAAGCGUGGGGAGCAAACAGGAUUAGAUACCCCAGUAGUCCCUGUCUCUUAUAC
rnacentral:rRNA from 1 species